AACGAACGCUGGCGGCAGGCCUAACACAUGCAAGUCGAGCGGACCCUUCGGGGUUAGCGGCGGACGGGUUAGUAACGCGUGGGAACGUGCCCAAAGGUACGGAAUAGCCUCGGGAAACUGAGAGUAAUACCGUAUAUGCCCCUCGGGGGAAAGAUUUAUCGCCUUUGGAUCGGCCCGCGUUGGAUUAGGUAGUUGGUGGGGUAAUGGCCUACCAAGCCGACGAUCCAUAGCUGGUUUGAGAGGAUGAUCAGCAACACUGGGACUGAGACACGGCCCAGACUCCUACGGGAGGCAGCAGUGGGGAAUCUUAGACAAUGGGGGAAACCCCGAUCUAGCCAUGCCGCGUGGACGAUGAAGGCCUUAGGGUUGUAAAGUCCUUUUAAGAGGGAAGAUAAUGACGGUACCUCUUGAAUAAGCACCGGCUAACUCCGUG
rnacentral:rRNA from 1 species